rnacentral:rRNA from 1 species
CAGCAGCCGCGGGAACACGUAGGGUGCAAGCGUUGUCCGGAAUUAUUGGGCGUAAAGAGCUCGUAGGCGGUUUGUCGCGUCUGCUGUGAAAACUGGAGGCUCAACCUCCAGCCUGCAGUGGGUACGGGCAGACUAGAGUGCGGUAGGGGAGAUUGGAAUUCCUGGUGUAGCGGUGGAAUGCGCAGAUAUCAGGAGGAACACCGAUGGCGAAGGCAGAUCUCUGGGCCGUAACUGACGCUGAGGAGCGAAAGCGUGGGGAGCGAACAGGAUUAGAUACCCCUGUAGUCCCUGUCUCUUAUAC